GACGAACGCUGGCGGCGUGCUUAACACAUGCAAGUCGAACGGACAGGCGCCAGCUUGCCGGGGCACUCGAGUGGCGAACGGGUGAGUAACACGUGGGUGAUCUGUCCUGCACUCUGGGAUAAGCCUUGGAAACUGGGUCUCAUAUCGGAUAGGACAGUGCUUACGUGUGUGUGCUGGAAUGUUGUUCGGUGUAGGUUGGGCGCGCGGCCUAUUCGCUUGUUGGUGGGGUAAUGGCCGACCAAGGCGGCGACGGGUAGCCGGCCUGAGAGGGUGGACGGCGACAAGGGGACUGAGGCACGGACCAGACGCCAACGGGAGGCAGCAGGGGAAAGUAUUACGCAAUGGGCGCGAGCGUGAUGCGGCGACGCCGCGUGGGUGAUGACGGCCUACGAGUGAUAAACCACUGUCUGCGGAAACAAGGCUUUUGUGACGGUACCUGCACAAAAAGCACCGGCUAACUACGUG
rnacentral:rRNA from 1 species